rnacentral:rRNA from 1 species
UACGGAGGGUGCAAGCGUUGUUCGGAAUUACUGGGCGUAAAGCGCGCGUAGGCGGUUUGCUAAGUCAGAUGUGAAAGCCCAUGGCUUAACCGUGUGAAGUGCAUCUGAAACUGGUCGGCUUGAGUAUCGGAGAGGAAAGUGGAAUUCCCGGUGUAGAGGUGAAAUUCGUAGAUAUCGGGAGGAAUACCGGUGGCGAAGGCGGCUGCCUGGACCGAUAUUGACGCUGAGACGCGAAAGCGUGGGUAGCAAACAGGAUUAGAAACCCGUGUAGU